rnacentral:snRNA from 1 species
GGAUGUGAGAGCGAUCCGGCUGCGAUGUGUGUCACUCCACUGACUGCAAGGACUGAUUCAGCUGAUCUGGCUACCUAGGCAAGCGUCUCCUUUCUUCUUCGGCUCGCCAUGUGUGUCCCUCCCAAAGCUGUGCAUGCACUCCAAGAGCAAGACCUCCCUUUAUCACGGAGGAUGAUUCAUUGAUCAAGCGUAUAUACAUGGAGGUGUGUCCCCUCCCUGCUGAAAUCUGCGAACACGCUCCCAAAGGCACAUUCAUGUGCUAUGUACGGACUGAGGAGAGCUGAUGAUCAGAAGACAUUGCAAGUCCAUGCUUUCUUGAAUUGAACUUUUAU